rnacentral:rRNA from 1 species
GGCUCAGGACGAACGCUGGCGGCGUGCCUAAUACAUGCAAGUCGAACGGUCUUUCUAUGGAAGCUUGCUUCCACUGAGAAGAUAGUGGCGAACGGGUGAGUAACACGUGGGUAACCUGCCCAUAAGAGGGGGAUAACAUCCGGAAACGGGUGCUAAUACCGCAUAGUUUUCUUGAUUGCAUGAUUGAGAAAGGAAAGACGGCCUUUGUGCUGUCGCUUAUGGAUGGACCCGCGGCGUAUUAGUUAGUUGGUGAGGUAACGGCUCACCAAGACGAUGAUACGUAGCCGACCUGAGAGGGUGAUCGGCCACAUUGGGACUGAGACACGGCCCAAACUCCUACGGGAGGCAGCAGUAGGGAAUCUUCCGCAAUGGACGAAAGUCUGACGGAGCAACGCCGCGUGAGUGAAAGAAGGUUUUCGGAUCGUAAAACUCUGUUGUCAGAGAAGAACAAGUUGGAGAGUAACUGCUCCAGCCUUGACGGUAUCUGACCAGAAAGCCACGGCUAACUACGUGCCAGCCGCCGC